UCAUGGUUAAGGAACUCGGCAAAAUGCCCCCGUAACUUCGGGAGAAGGGGGGCCCGAUCCCUUGAAGCCCCGUGGCGGGCUAGGGGGGUGGGUCGCAGAGACCAGGGGGAAGCGACUGUUUACUAAAAACACAGGUCCGUGCGAAGCCGUAAGGCGAUGUAUACGGACUGACGCCUGCCCGGUGCUGGAAGGUUAAGAGGAACCAUCAACCCCCUUUCUUGGGGGUGAAGUGGUGAAUUUAAGCCCCAGUAAACGGCGGUGGUAACUAUAACCAUCCUAAGGUAGCGAAAUUCCUUGUCGGGUAAGUUCCGACCUGCACGAAUGGAGUAACGACUUCCCUACUGUCUCAACCAUGAACUCGGUGAAAUUGCAGUACGAGUAAAGAUGCUCGUUUCGCGCAGCAGGACGGAAAGACCCCGGGACCUUUACUACAGUUUGGUAUUGGUGAUCGGUGUGACUUGUGUAGGAUAGGUGGGAGACUUUGAAACCGGGACGCCAGUUCCGGUGGAGUCGUCGUUGAAAUACCACUCUGGUCAUUCUGGUUAUCUAACCUAGGACCGUUAUCCGGUUCAGGGACAGUGCCUGAUGGGUAGUUUGACUGGGGCGGUCGCCUCCUAAAAGGUAACGGAGGCGCCCAAAGGUUCCCUCAGCCUGGUUGGCAAUCAGGUUUCGAGUGUAAGUGCACAAGGGAGCUUGACUGUGAGACCGACGGGUCGAGCAGGGACGAAAGUCGGGACUAGUGAUCUUCUGGUAGCGAAUGGAAGCGCCAGGACUCAACGGAUAAAAGGUACCCCGGGGAUAACAGGCUGAUCUUGCCCGAGCGUCCAUAGCGACGGCAUGGUUUGGCACCUCGAUGUCGGCUCGUCGCAUCCUGGGGCUGGAGUCGGUCCCAAGGGUUGGGCUGUUCGCCCAUUAAAGCGGCACGCGAGCUGGGUUUAGAACGUCGUGAGACAGUUCGGUCCCUAUCCGCUGCGCGCGUAGGAGUCUUGAGAAGGGCUGUCCUUAGUACGAGAGGACCGGGACGGACCAACCUCUGGUGUGCCAGUUGUUCCGCCAGGAGCACGGCUGGUUGGCUACGUUGGGAAGUGAUAACCGCUGAAAGCAUCUAAGCGGGAAGCACGCUUCAAGAUGAGGACUCCCACACCAUCAAGGUGGUAAGGCCCCCUGCAGACCACAGGGUCGAUAGGUCGGACGUGGAAGCACAGUAAUGUGUGAAGCUGACCGAUACUAAUAGGCCGAGGGCUUGCCACA
rnacentral:rRNA from 1 species